UGAAUACGAGACGCUAAGGCGUCGAAGUAGUGUAUGUCAUACUUCCAAGAAAAGCUUGCACUGUCAUAGAUAAAAAACGCCUGUACCAUAACCGACACAGGUGGGUAGGUAGAGUAUACUAAGGGGCGCGAGAUAACUCUCUCUAAGGAACUCGGCAAAAUAACUCCGUAACUUCGGGAGAAGGAGUGCCUUAUUCGUAAGGUUGCAAUAACAAGAUCCAAGCAACUGUUUAUCAAAAACACAGGUCUCCGCUAAGUCGUAAGACGAUGUAUGGGGGCUGACGCCUGCCCAGUGCCAGAAGGUUAAAGAAGUUGGUUAGCAAUUGCGAAGCUGGUAACUGAAGCCCUGGUGAACGGCGGCCGUAACGAUAACGGUCCUAAGGUAGCGAAAUUCCUUGUCGGGUAAGUUCCGACCCGCACGAAAGGCGUAAUGAUUUGGAUACUGUCUCGGAGAGGGGCUCGGUGAAAUAGACUUGUCUGUGAAGAUGCGGACUACCUGCACCAGGACAGAAAGACCCUAUGAAGCUUUACUGUAACUUGAAAUUGAAAUUGGACUUUAUUCGCGCAGUAUAGGUGGGAGGCGUUGAUUAUAAUCUUGUGGGAUUAUUGGAGCCAUCAGUGAGAUACCACUCUUGUAAUGUUAGAUUUCUAACUUUGGAUCAUUAUCUGGUCAAAGAACAGUUUCAGGCGGGCAGUUUGACUGGGGCGGUCGCCUCCUAAACGGUAACGGAGGCGUACAAAGGUUUCCUCUGAACGGUUAGAAAUCGUAUCUAGAGUGUAAAGGCAUAAGGAAGCUUGACUGUGAGACCUACAAGUCGAGCAGGGACGAAAGUCGGUCUUAGUGAUCUGACGGUACUGAGUGGAAAGGCCGUCACUCAACGGAUAAAAGUUACUCUAAGGAUAACAGGCUGAUCUCCCCCAAGAGUUCACAUCGACGGGGAGGUUUGGCACCUCGAUGUCGGCUCAUCGCAUCCUGGGGCGGUAGUACGUCCCAAGGGUUGGGCUGUUCGCCCAUGAAAGCGGUACGCGAGCUGGGUUCAGAACGUCGUGAGACAGUUCGGUCCAUAUCCGGUGUAGGCGUUAGAAUAUUGAGAGGAGCCUUCUUUAGUACGAGAGGACCGAGAAGGACAUACCUCUGGUGUACCAGUUAUCGUGCCAACGGUAAACGCUGGGUAGCUAUGUAUGGAGUGGAUAACCGCUGAAAGCAUCUAAGUGGGAAGCCCACCUCAAGAUAAGUAUUCUCA
rnacentral:rRNA from 1 species